UAAUACAUAGGUAACCUACCCUUAAGACGAGGAUAGCCAUUGGAAACGAUGGAUAAAACUGGAUAGGAUAUAGAGGAAGAAUCUUUUAUAUUUAAAAGAGAGAUCUGCUUAAGGAGGGGCCUGUGGCGCAUUAGCUAGUUGGUGGGGUAAGGGCCUACCAAGGCGAUGAUGCGUAGCCGGACUGAGAGGUUGAACGGCCACAAUGGAACUGAGAACGGUCCAUACUCCUACGGGAGGCAGCAGUAGGGAAUUUUCGGCAAUGGGGGGAACCCUGACCGAGCAACGCCGCGUGAACGAAGAAGUUAUUCGUAAUGUAAAGUUCUUUUAUCAGGGAAGAAAGAGGAAUUUGACGGUACCUGAGGAAUAAGCUCCGGCUAACUACGUGCCAGCAGCCGCGGUAAUACGUAGGGAGCGAGCGUUAUCCGGAAUUAUUGGGCGUAAAGGGUGCGUAGAUGGCAUAGUAAGUCUUUUGUAAAAAUGCUGGGCUCAACCCAGUAGGGCAAAAGAUACUGCAAAGCUAGAGUAUGACAGAGGCAAGUGGAACUACAUGUGUAGCGGUAAAAUGCGUAAAUAUAUGUAAGAACACCAGUGGCGAAGGCGGCUUGCUGGGUCGAUACUGACAUUGAGGCACGAAAGCGUGGGGAGCAAACAGGAUUAGAUACCCUGGUAGU
rnacentral:rRNA from 1 species